AUGUUCAGCUUCAGUUUGAAGAUGGAGAUUCAAGACCAGUGGAGCUGUGCUGUGGGACUCCAGGGCUGCAGCAGUGGGACAGGGAGAGAGAGAGCCCAGCCCUGCGGGAGCCCUUCUCAGCCUGCCAUUAGUCUCCACAUGACAGGCAGCAUCCAGCAGCAGAAACCAUCCACCCGCCCAGCAUGGAGAAGACACACGCAGGCAGCCCCGUCUGGGAGAGACCGGAGCAGAUGCACACACACCGACAGGAACACACACACAAACAGGAACACACACACCGACAGGAACACACACACCGACAGGAACACACACACCGACAGGAACACACACACAGACAGGAACACACACACAGGCAGAUGAGAAGACGCACACGGCAUAUGGCUGUGCCCUCACGGGAGAACACGGGAAACUGUGACAUCAGUUGAUUGGCGGGUGGGUGGUUGGCUUGGUAGAGCACAGCUCUGUGUGAGUGAAGUCGAUAGGACUACUGUGUGCUAACUUUAAAUGUAUCGAACUGUACAACCACUAUGGCUGAUGGCUCAUAUAAUACUGUGAUGUGGGUCACAGUGCCAUUAGAUGGCACCCUACAUCUAAUGCCAUUAGAUGUAGGGCCUCCCGGGUGGCGCAGUGGUUAAGGGCGCUGUACUGCAGCGCCAGCUGCGCCACCAGAGACUCUGGGUUUGCGCCCAGGCUCUGUCGUAACCGGCCGCGACCGGAAGGUUAAAUAAAGGAUAAAUAAACCAUAUAUAUCUCUGUACACUCUUCAAAAUGUGCCUGUGUUAUAUUUCAAACAUAAUCUUGCAGGGAAUGUACAGUAGAGGGUUGUCCUCAAGUAGAGGGUUGUCCUCAAGGGAUUUGGGGAUUACACUAACUGUCGGAAAAAUCCCUAAAUCUCUACAAGGAUUAUCAAUUGGUCAAUGGAGCUCUUGCUAAAAGUCCCUGGAUGAGAUACAACUACAGGACUGGGGAGCACAGUAAAACACAUGCUAGCUUACCUUUCACUCUGUCAGACAUUUGGAGAGAAAAAAAUACUCCAUUACAUUUGGUCACCUGUGGGAUGUGAGAGGAGCAGAUACAUUUUGCUUUGAUAGGCUGGCUUUCACACAUUUAACCCCUAGAAUCCUUCAGAACUGCAAGUGCAGAGAAAAACAUUUUUAGUUACAAAAAUGGAUGAAAAUGUGACUGUCAACGGGUAUCAACCCAAUCAUACAGAGGCUUUCAAUGGGUAUCAACCCAAUCAUACAGAGGCUUUCAAUGGGUAUCAACCCAAUCAUACAGAGGCUUUCAAUGGGUAUCAACCCAAUCAUACAGAGGCUUUCAAUGGGUAUCAACCCAAUCAUACAGAGGCUUUCAAUGGGUAUCAACCCAAUCAUACAGAGGCUUUCAAUGGCUGCUGAGAUAUGAUCAUUUUCCACUUUAUAAAGCAAAUAAACAAUCAUUCAUAAUUAUUUCCAUUCCACUGGACCAAAGUACAGAAAUACCUAGAGCUGGAAACACUAGAGUUACUGUGUUUGUUUGCAUGAGCAGCAUCAAAGCUGUGUGUCCCAGCUGCUGAUGACACAUCCCCUGGGGAGCGCUGCUCUGAGAGCAAGGGGGAUCAGCUGAGAGAGAGAGAGAGACACACACACCCCUCCUCCCCCCGAUUGACAGCGCUGAUAAGCGAUGUGGCAGGCUGUGAACACUGGCGACGUGCGUCACAGCUCCUGUGAGCCUCGCCUCGUCUUGUCUCGCCUGUACUCAAUAAGGGAGCUGGGGGAGGGGUGGAGAGAUAGGGACAUUUUAUUGUUUAUUUCACUUGCUUUGUCAAUGUAAACACAUGUUUCCCAUGCCAAUAAAGCCCCUUAAAAUUGAAUUGAAUUGAAAGAGAGAGAGCGAGAGAGAGAGAGAGGGAGAGCGAGAGAGUCGGACGAGUCCCUCCAAGUAGCAGAAUCCCGGCAGAGCGGCUGAGAGUGCAUAUGAGAAACAGAGACCAGAGGAGUGAAAGACAGACGGAGAGUUGAACCUCUGAGGUAGCAGGAGACUGCAGGGAGAGAGAGAGACAAGGAGAAUUGUAAAAGGGUUGGAAAAAAAGAGAAGUUGGAAGGGAUUGUGAGCCGGCAAUAUAUGUGUGUGUGUGUGUGUGAAAAUGCUUGCGUGCUGUGUGUGAGCCGUGAUUAUGUGUGAUGUGAGAGGAGUUCACAGCAGGGGUAUUUUCCUCAUUUCCACCUGUUGGUAGAAACAGACAAACUGACGAUGUUCACCCAGAGCACAACCAGACCAGGCUAGUUGCUAUUCACCAGUCUGCUUCCUCACACACACCACACAGCAAGGCUUAUUGGCUUGCAAACACAUACACUUUUCACAAACAUAUAAAUGGAAUUCCAUCCUCCUGACAAAUAUUUAUUGUGUUCAUUAUUGUGAACAAUAUUCAUUGCCAAUCUCUUCCUCCCUCAGUAACACGGCCAGCCUCACUGUCUCCUCUCUCUGCUGGCCACACACAUCCCGCGCCCCUCCGCUGUCGCCUAUAUUUCAAGGUCUCGGCUCGGCCGCGCUGUGCUCUCCCUUCAGGGGGAAAAUGAGAUAAUCAAUUAGGGCCCCCUCUCUCCUCCACCCGCCCGCCUGCCGCUCUUUAAUAACUGGCCUCGUAAAGGGAGGCAUUAGAUACCAAUCUAUCAAAGCUGUCCGUCCCUUUGGCUUUAAGACUAGCCCCCGCACUGCCUGUCUUCCCCAUGCACCGGGCUGCCUGCCUGCGCUCGCUUAAUGGCACGAUUUGCGGAGCUCCGGUCGAGAGACAGAGAGAGAGAGAGAGAAGGAAGAUGGAGAAAGAAAAGGGGGGGGGGAAUGGAGAGACAGAGAGAGAAGCGGCUUUGCUCAACGUCUUAUCUCUCCUCGUUUGCUCUCCAAGCGGCUGAGUCGUUUAAUUCCUCCUAAUCUGUCCGCUGGAGAGAAGACAGGCUGUGCGGCGAGGCCGGGGUGGGGGCUGGUGUGUGCGUGCGUGCGCGCGCUUGACGGAUCAACCUCUUCUCUAGGCACUUUUUGUCGUCUGUCGUUGUAUUUCUCAUGCCUGUUCGCUAUAUAAAUGUGGUUAUUGUUCAGGAUAAAAAUGGAGCUGAAAAAUAGUAUCUUUCCUACAGCUUUAGAUUUUCAGACUGCCUCACGGAAUCAUCAUUGGAACAUGUGUCAGGUGAAUUAGUGACGUUUAUAUCAUGUAAACUGGAAGAAGAAACCUGGUUGGCAUGGUAAUUCAUGCUUUAUUAAAAGGCUAUACGUCUUGCUUGUAAUGGUCAAUUAGCCUGUCAACGGCUAUAGCCAUUUCCUGUAUACUUUUUUAUUUAACCAGGCAAGCCAGUUAAGAACAAAUAAUUAUUUACAAUGACGGCCUAUCGGGGAACAGUGGGUUAACUGUCUUGUUCAGUGGCAGUACGACAGAUUUGUACCUUGUCAGCUCAGGGAUUCGCUCCAGCAACCUUUCGGUUACUAGUCCAACGCUCUAACCACUAGGCUACCUGCCUGUUAGCCUAUGGGUGCUCAUUUUGUGUCCGUCAGAAGCCUGAUUACUCUGGUUGACACCUAACUCCAAGUCUUCCUGACUUCAGUCUGGUAAGACUCCUUUAUGU
rnacentral:lncRNA from 1 species